GAAUUCUGGGAUUGCCCCAGCAUGGGGUGCCCCACUCAGCAGGUAGUCUGCUUCUUGCUCUCCCUCUGCCUCUCCCCACUGCUCAUGCUACCUCUCCUUCUCUAACUCAAAUAAAGAAAUAAAAUCUCUAAAAAAUUGUAUGAAAGUCUGGAAACUCAACACCUACACAAUCAGUUAGUAUUGUCAGAAUAGGUGGACCCAAGAGUGCCUGAAGAGAAGUGGAGUGGAGAGAAUGGAGAGAAUAGGUGGAGUAUUUGAAUCCGUGCCUCCAGAUGCUUAGAUUGAACUUGCCUUAAGUAAAAUCAAUUAGGAUAAAGAGAUGAUAUCUUCUUUUCACUGGAUUUACCAAGUUUGAAAUCAUUGCACGGCACACAGUGAGAGAGAGAGAGGCAGAGACACAGGCAGAGGGAGAAGCAGGCUCCAUGCACCGGGAGCUCGACGUGGGAUUCAAUCCCGGGUCUCCAGGAUCGCGCCCUGGGCCAAAGGCAGGCGCUAAACCGCUGCGCCACCCAGGGAUCCCUACCCUGUGUAUUUCUUAUGAUAUACUUUGCAAAAGUGAAUUUCAAAGAAGCAGGACAAAAUAUUUCCAGUCACUCAGAAGCGAACUAUCAAGUGAGAAGAAAUGCUUUAAGUAUGGGAAUAAAUGGAAGUAGAUACCAAGCACACAUUCUUGGUGAUAUCACUAUCCUCUAACUCCUAGUGGUAAUUUCAUUGGCUCUUCUUUUACUACAUUAUUUUAAACCUGAUGAGGAUUUUGUUUAGAUUUUUGGAUAGCAGUUUUAAAAGUCGAUUGAUAUUUAA